rnacentral:rRNA from 1 species
UGGGUAACCUGCCUCAAAGAGGGGAAUAGCCUCUCGAAAGGGAGAUUAAUACCGCAUAAUAUGUUUAAGUCGCAUGACCUUAACAUCAAAGGAUUUUCUUUUAGAAAUUCCACUUUGAGAUGGACCCGCGGCGCAUUAGCUAGUUGGUGAGGUAACGGCUCACCAAGGCAACGAUGCGUAGCCGACCUGAGAGGGUGAUCGGCCACAUUGGAACUGAGACACGGCCCAGACCUCUACGGGAG